rnacentral:rRNA from 1 species
UACGUAGGGGGCAAGCGUUGUCCGGAAUUAUUGGGCGUAAAGCGCGCGCAGGUGGUUUCUUAAGUCUGAUGUGAAAGCCCACGGCUCAACCGUGGAGGGUCAUUGGAAACUGGGGAACUUGAGUGCAGAAGAGGAAAGUGGAAUUCCAAGUGUAGCGGUGAAAUGCGUAGAGAUUUGGAGGAACACCAGUGGCGAAGGCGACUUUCUGGUCUGUAACUGACACUGAGGCGCGAAAGCGUGGGGAGCGAACAGG